rnacentral:tmRNA from 1 species
GGGGGUGAAAGGUAUCGACUCAGACCAAGGAGUGCUAGUGGCAUGUCGAGGUGGCAGGGUGGCCUCGUAAAACACCUUGCAAAAACACAAAUGCUAAAAACACAAAAGCAACAUUGACAUUUAAUAACCUGAUGGAUUCUAUGGUGGUGGUUAAUCCUACCCCUAUGUUUCCUAUGGUUGGGAUGUCAAUGACACCAGCGGGAUUCUAAUAAAAUAGAAUCCUCCGUCUGCCGGUUUUUCCUGUGGGGCCGGAUUGGACGUUAUUAGCAGGAUAGUUUCGGUGAGUUUGUCUUUGUAACUGAGGCGAAAUUUUAAAAGACUACGCUUGCGCUAAUUCCGUUUACCGAAGCAGCACAAGUAAAACUAAAAGGUAAACUAAACAUGUAGAAGCUUUUAGUCUAAGGCUUGAGGACGGCAGUUCGAAUCUGCCCACCUCCAC